CACUAAAACAGUGUUGCUUCUGAAAGGACUUUUCACACAUCAACAGUCCUGAACUUGUAUUUCCCUACUCAUCAGAAAUUACUUGAAAAAAUCCUGUUUCUAAUUAGUUCAGCUGCCUUUUGUCCUUAAUAUCAGUGUUACUUAUAUUAGUU